GCGAGCGUGACGGCGCGAGCAGGUGCGAAAGCAGGUCAUAGUGAUCCGGUGGUUCUGAAUGGAAGGGCCAUCGCUCAACGGAUAAAAGGUACUCCGGGGAUAACAGGCUGAUACCGCCCAAGAGUUCAUAUCGACGGCGGUGUUUGGCACCUCGAUGUCGGCUCAUCACAUCCUGGGGCUGAAGUAGGUCCCAAGGGUAUGGCUGUUCGCCAUUUAAAGUGGUACGCGAGCUGGGUUUAGAACGUCGUGAGACAGUUCGGUCCCUAUCUGCCGUGGGCGCUGGAGAACUGAGGGGGGCUGCUCCUAGUACGAGAGGACCGGAGUGGACGCAUCACUGGUGUUCGGGUUGUCAUGCCAAUGGCACUGCCCGGUAGCUAAAUGCGGAAGAGAUAAGUGCUGAAAGCAUCUAAGCACGAAACUUGCCCCGA
rnacentral:rRNA from 1 species